rnacentral:lncRNA from 10 species
GAUGCGCCCACCAGCAGCCACGCUUGGGGCUGGGGGCUUUGAGGACACGCAGGCUGCCUUAAAUAUAAUGGACAUCCGUAUGGAUUAAGACUCUAUACAAGCUUUCUCUUUAGUACACCAGGGGAAAGUGAAAAAAGAACCACAUUUGAAUUCGGCUUUGUCACUACAAGUGGGUGACCAUGAGCAAGUUACUAACCUCAGUGAACCUGUUCCUAACCUAAAAAGGAGGAGAAUGGAGAGCAGGUAAUAAUACCUUAUGAGAUGGUUGUGAGAGUUAUAUAGCAUUCUUUAUGUCAUAGUCCUAGCAAAGUGCUGGCAUAAAAUAGGUGCUCCCUAAAUGUUAAUUACCUACCUUCCUUUCCCUUUCUGUCAGAUUUUCUCUACUAUUCUUAUGAAAUAAUAAAGAGUUUUUGUAAUUAAGAUGAACUCAUCCUUAUGGAUUAAGAAGACAAAGAAUACAAGCAAGCAGGAGAAAGUCUAAGAAGAGAGUUCACCUGGUGGGUGGCAACGUUCACAGCAAGAGUACCAUCCUUCUGUAACAUGCAUUCUCAAAAGAGCCAAUAUCACCUUC